rnacentral:rRNA from 1 species
UGAGAGCCUUGAGGGCCGAGUCGUGGAGAAGGGUUCCAUGUGAACAGCCGUUGCACAUGGGUCAGUCGAUCCUAAGGCCUAGGGUAGUUCCGCUCUGAGCGGCGGCGCGCGCCUGCCUCGUGUGGGUUUGCGCCCCCUGGCCGAAAGGGAAUCGGGUCAAUAUUCCCGAACCUGAAGGUGGAGCCCGCCGCCAUUUUGGCGGUCAGAGCUGCAAAGCUAUGGAGCCCGGAGACACUGGCCGGAGCCCCGGGAAGAGUUGUCUUUUCUUUGUAAGGGGCGGGUUUCCCUGAAACCGACUGGAUCGGAGAUAGGGACCGCGGCCCCGUAGAGCGCCGCGUCUGGAGCGGCGUCCGGUGUUGCACUGGCCGGUCCUUGAAAAUCCGGGGGACGAGCGUGGACUCUCACCUCAGGUCGUACCCAUAACCGCAGCAGGUCUCCAAGGUGAACAGCCUCUGGUCAAUAGAACAAUGUAGGUAAGG